rnacentral:siRNA from 1 species
CUGACUCGUUAUUCACUAGGCUGA